CCUAAAUCCGCCGCAGACGGUCUCUUCCCGGCAAAGGGAGGAGCGAAGAGGGAAUGCGGUGCGGGAAAAACCCAAAUCCGCGGCUGUCCCCGCAACUGUAAGCGACGAGCCUUAGCCGAAAACCACUGGGUGUUCCCGGGAAGGCGGCGCCAAGGCGAUGAAGCGCGAGCCAGGAGACCUGCCGUCUGAGACUUUAAGAA
rnacentral:ncRNA from 1 species